rnacentral:lncRNA from 1 species
AGGAUGGCCCGUACUUUGGAACCACUAGCAAAGAAGAUCUUUAAAGGAGUUUUGGUAGCCGAACUUGUAGGCGUUUUUGGAGCAUAUUUUUUGUUUAGCAAGAUGCACACAAGCCAAGAUUUCAGGCAAACAAUGAGCAAGAAAUAUCCCUUCAUCUUGGAAGUUUAUUACAAAUCCACUGAGAAGUCUGGAAUGUAUGGAAUCAGAGAGCUAGAUCAAAAAACAUGGUUGAACAGCAAAAAUUAGAUUCAUCACGUUCAGCCUCCCAUCUAAGCUGUUUGAGACCUUUGAGAGAAGAAGAAAAGAUGAGUGUACUACCACACUGUAGACUCUUGGUGGUCCCACAGAACAUGCUGCUGAGUCACAGGAACUUCUAGCCUGCCUUGGCCUGUGGUUUCCCACCCACUAUACAAACCCACUGCUUGUUUGUUGCUUUUCUUCUCAUAUUUAUUGUCAAAGAUAAAUGUUUCAAAAAGAAAUGACUAAGGAAGGAAAAGAAACAAAUGCUCUAAAGAUUUUCUCUCCCCAAGCACUUUUACUGGUGAAAUAAAAACCAGUAACAAUCAAUAUGUAAAAACGGCCCACUUCCCUAAAAAAAAGUAAUUUUUGUAGUCUGCAAGGUUUUUUUUUUUUUUGCUUUAGUCUAAAUACUUGUUAAUCUUACAUGUUCUCCUGAGAGAAGAAAAAGCCAUUCCUUUCAGGUUGUAAAGUACCAUGAAAAGGUCUUUCAAAAAUAUUCCUAUCAGCCAGGCAUGGUGGCUCACACCAGUAAUCUCAGCACUUUGGGAGGCCGAGGCAGGCGGGUCACUUGAGGUCAGGAGUUCGAGACCAGCCUGGCCAACAUGGUGAAACCCUGUUUCUACUAAAAAUACAAAAAUUAGCUGGGCGUGGUGGUGCAUGCCUGUAAUCCCAGCUACUUGGGAGGCUAAGGUAGGAGAAUUACUUGAACAUGGGAGAUGGAGGUUGCAGUGAGCCAAGAUCAUGCCACUGCAUUCCAACCUGGGCAAGGGAGUGAGACGCUGUCUC